UACGAAGGGGGCUAGCGUUGCUCGGAAUGACUGGGCGUAAAGGGCGCGUAGGCGGAUGGCACCGUCAGAUGUGAAAUUCCCGGGCUUAACCUGGGGGCUGCAUUUGAUACGUGUGAUCUAGAGUGAGGAAGAGGGUCGUGGAAUUCCCAGUGUAGAGGUGAAAUUCGUAGAUAUUGGGAAGAACACCGGUGGCGAAGGCGGCGACCUGGUCCUUGACUGACGCUGAGGCGCGAAAGCGUGGGGAGCAAACAGG
rnacentral:rRNA from 1 species